rnacentral:piRNA from 1 species
UAUUGUAUGUAGAAAGUGCUGUUCUCAGGA